UACGAAGGGGGCUAGCGUUGCUCGGAAUCACUGGGCGUAAAGCGCACGUAGGCGGGUCCUUAAGUCAGGGGUGAAAUCCUGGAGCUCAACUCCAGAACUGCCUUUGAUACUGAGGAUCUCGAGUUCGGGAGAGGUGAGUGGAACUGCGAGUGUAGAGGUGAAAUUCGUAGAUAUUCGCAAGAACACCAGUGGCGAAGGCGGCUCACUGGCCCGAUACUGACGCUGAGGUGCGAAAGCGUGGGGAGCAAACAGGG
rnacentral:rRNA from 1 species